AACAUAAUCACCAGGUGUGCUGGGACCAAGUCUCACACAUAUGAUGAAUCAUGGCACAUGAUCGAAUGUCACAUCUUUACUAUAUAAUAGGAGUUCUGUACAAAAUAAAUAAAUAAUUACAUUAUAAGAAGACAACGGUCUAGCAACCCAAGGUUGACUGGGAGACGACGACCUAGACCUCUCACGAACUCAUCACAACAUCCUCCAUGCGCCUCAUCCGGCGGUACCUGUUCUUGACCUGUGGGGGUGUGAGACAGCAAGAGUGAGCUCACAUGCGUUCAUCGCUCAACAAGUUGUGGGGAAUAAUGUGCAUGAACUCGCCAAAGGUGGGAGCUCACAUGAAGUGUAAGGCUUACCAAAGAGGAUGGUUGAAGCUGAGCAUUGCUUUUAAAGUUGGUCAAAAUUUUAUUAGCAAUUACUAAGUAUAAGUAAAUACCAACCCAAUUAAGUAGUAGAACAAAAGUAAUAACAACAUCUGCAAUGUAAUGCAAUGCAUAUGACAAAUUGAAUUAAGUUCCAUAAAUUAAUCAUGUGAGUGUCCGAGCUGCUCAUGACCGUGAGCACGGCUAGUAUACCAGUUUCACACUCUACAGAGGUUGCACAUCUUUACCCACAAGUCAUGUAACCCAUCUGCCAAGGGAUCGCGACUUCCUAUACACCUCUACCGAGGAGGCGAGGUAGGGUAACACUACGAGGCCUUUACAAAGUUCCACUAGCUUCAGAAAACCCGCUACAGUUUCUAGGAAGCUCCAAUGCAGGGAUCCCUUGCCUGACCGCCAUCGCAGCAAAAUCAACCCAAGGACCUCCCUACACUGAUCACUCCCCUACUACCCUUGCCCCUUUCGGGUAAGGUAGUCCUCCACUAGCUUUCCUCAUUAGUCAGCCAAGGGCGUCCCAUACCACCCUUGUGGUAGCACCGUUUUCUAGGGUGGUUCUUCAUGUUCCCAUUAACAUAAUGAUCUUAUCAUGAAUAGUAAAUAAAAAUUGAUAACAAAAGUAUGAAAAAUGUAUAUCUCUGUCGGGUACCGUAAUUAGGGGUACCCCCAGCACUCCUAAACACGGCUGGUAAGCUCCAUCAGCACAAACUACAGAGACUGAUGGGCACGGUUCAGGUCAAGACCUCGCCUACCAAGGGACGCAAUCUCGCCUCGCCCGAACCUGGCCUCGAGCGGGAACAGUAGUCCCGGACGAAUUCGCGCCUCGCUCGAGGGUCUCCUCAGGCAGUGGGUGCACCCUCGGCUCGCCCGAGGACCAGCUCGGGUAGGCUUCAUCGAGAAGCAACCUUGGCCAAAUCGCCUCACCAUCCGACCGUAUCGCAGGCGCAUUCAAUGCGAGGAUCGCCUGACACCUUAUCCUGACACGCGCGCCUCAGUCGGCCAGGUCAAAGUGACCGCAGUCACUUUGCCCUUUCACUGACCGAUCUGACAGGAAAACAGCGCCGCUCAACCCGCUCCGACUGCUGUGUCAGCCACCCGGGCAAGGCUGACAAUAGCAAGUUCAGCCUCGGACGCAACAGGAAGCUCCGCCUUGCCCGACCUUAGGCCUCGGCCUCGGGAGGAGGUCUCCGCCUCGCCCGACCCCAAGACUCGGCCUCAGCCUCGACAUAGGGAGGAAUCGCGUCCUCGCCCGACCCCGGUCUCGGCCUCAGGAGAAGUCUCCGCCUCGCCUGACCUUGGGCUCGGACCGACCGCGCCACAGGGGAUACAUCAUUACCCUACCCCUAGCUAGCUCAGGCUACGAGGGAACAAGAUCGGCGUCCCAUCUAGCUCGUCCCGGUAACAGGUAAUGAUGGCUCCCCGCGUGCGGCCAUGACGACGGUGGUUCUCAGCCCCCUACGGAAGCAAGGAGACAUCAGCAGGAUCCCAGCAGCACCGCCAGCUGUGCUUCUACAGGGCUCAGGCACUUUUCCGACGGCCACGUUAUCACGUACACAGGGCUCUAGCACCUCUUCGACAGCCAAGUUGGCAUGUGCACAGGGCUCAGGCACCUCUUUGCCAGACAUGUUAGCGCAUAGCUACACCCCCAUUGUACACCUGGACCCUCUCCUUGCAUCUAUAAAAGGGAGGUCAAGGGCCUUCAUGCGGGAGGGUCACGCGGAGGGACGAGCAAACGAACAGGCUCACUCUCUCUCUCUCUCGCGAACGCUUGUAACCCCUACUACGAGCACACCCCCUGGUGCGAGAUAAUACGAGCCGCGUUUUCCCCUUGUGUUCCAUCUCGCGCCAACCCAUCUGGGCAGGGACACGCAACGAAAAAUUUACUGGUUGGCUUACGGACCCCCCAGGUCCGAAACGUCGACAGUUGGCGCGCCAGGUAGGGGCCUGCUCAGCAACCUCUUCAGCCCGGGACCGUGCUCCGCUUCGGGAGUAUCGAGUUCAUGUCCCUCGACGGCAGCUACGACAUGGUACUCCUCCCCCCGAAGCGCGACAGCAACAACGACGGUCGUCAGCUCGCCCGGCAGUGGCAAACUCGAUGACGUCUUCCCCACGUGGCGGAAGAGCAGCAUCCGGGUUUGCCUUGCCACCCUCCUCGCCGCAGAAGGAGGAGACGGGGCAACCGUGGCCAGGUAGGAGGCGGCGCCUCGUCGGCUGUCAAGCGAGUCGACGACGCCGGCACCCCAGCGGGGGACAUGUCGGGCGUUGUCCUCGGACCUGAGACAACGACGGAUGUCGUUUCGCCGCAACGUGCCAACCCCAAGCGGACUGAUGAUGCCAGCACUCUCGCGAAGGACUUGCUUGGCGUUAGCCUUGUACAUGAGAUGACGGUGAAGUCCUUCCCCGACGCGACUUCCCCACCAUCCAUCGACCAAGAGGUACCGUCCGUUUUCCAUACUGUGCCUUUUAGAUUCAGCUUUAAUCCACCAAGCGACCCCACUGCGGUGAGCGCUUUCGUAAAGGCGUACCCUAACCUUCUGGGGUACCAUAUGUGGGCAUCUUGGGACCGACUGACGGUUGUCUCAACCUACGGGCCCCUAGGUUCCGAGGAAGAGGACGACCCCGACUCCGGUUGGGCUUUCUCCGGGCUCAGUGAUCCCAGUGCCAAGCGAGACUUCAUGACCGCAUGUGACUACUGCCUCUCCGGUUGCUCUGAUGAUGGCCACAGCCUUGACGAUGAGGGUUGUGACCCGUGUCGCGAAUGUUUCCACGUCGAUCUGGGGGAUCGCGAUGAAGGCAACCACCUUGGUAUGCUGGAGGAUGAUGAUCCCCCUGUGCCUGCUUCUCGCGUUGACAUCCCGCGGGAGCUAGCUGUGGUCCUAGUCCCUGCGGGGGGUCAGGACACACAACUCGAGCAAAUCAGUGGGAUGCAGGCCAAGCUCGACGAGGAAGCAGGGCAACUUGUGUAGCUCCGGCAAAACAUCGAGCAGGAGUGGGCAGGCCGGGCACUCGCCGGAGAAGCGCGUCAUCGGGCCCGGGACAUCCAACACCGUAUCGUUGACGAUGCCAGGGCAAGGCUGCGCCCGCCCUCCAGCGGGGUCGACUAGAAUCGAACUGCAGCGGCAAUACUACUCCGAGCGAUGCCGGAGCCAUCCACCACCGAGGGGCGGCAUAUCCAAGGAGAACUCAAGAAUCUCCUAGAGGAUGCUGCGAUCCGAUGGGCCGAAAGCUCUGCCUCCCUAAGGCAGGGGUGCCCCCGGAGCAUCGCACAACGACUUCCCGACUCAUGCGGGAGGCCUCGGUCCACACCGGGUGCACGCGGGACGGGACGCCUGCAGCCCCGGGUCGCCUCGGUGACGAGCCACACCAUCGCAACCGUCGAGCCCGCCUCGACGAGAGGGUGCGCGGAGGCUACCACCCCAGGCGCGGAGGACGCUACGACAGCGAGGAGGAUCGGAGUCCCUCGCCCGAACCACCAGGUCCGCAAGCCUUCAACCGGGCCAUACGACGGGCGCCGUUCCCGGCUCGGUUCUGGGCCCCGACUACCAUCACCAAGUAUUCGGGGGAAACAAGGCCGGAGUUGUGGCUUGCGGACUACCGGCUGGCCUGCCAGCUAGGAGGAACGGACGAUGACAACCUCAUCAUCCGCAACCUCCCCCUAUUCCUCUCCGACGCUGCCCGGGCCUGGCUAGAGCAUCUGCCUCCCGCACAGAUCUCCAACUGGGAUGACCUGGUCAAGGCCUUCGCUGGAAAUUUCCAGGGCACGUACGUGCGCCUUAGGAACUCGUGGGAUCUCCAAAGCUGCCGCCAGCAGCCAGGGAAAUCCCUGCGAGAGUACAUCUGACGGUUUUCAAAGCAGCGCACCGAGCUGCCCAACAUCACCGACUCGGAUGUUAUCGGGGCGUUCCUCGCCGGCACUACCUGCCGAGACCUGGUGAGGAAACUGGGGCGCAAGACUCCCACCAAGGCGAGCGAGUUGAUGGACAUCGCCACCAAGUUCGCCACUGGCAAGGAGGCGGUCGAAGCCAUCUUCCGGAAGGACAAGCAGCCUCAGGGACGGCAGCAGGAAGACGUUCCCGAGGCGUCCGCCCAGCGUGGCACGAAGAAGAAGGCCAAGAAGAAGGCGCAAGCAAAGCGCGACGCCGCUGACGCGGAUCUCGUCGCUGUUGUCGAACACAGCAACCCUCGAAAGCCUCCAGGAGGGGCCAACCUGUUCGACAAGAUGCUCAAGGAGUCAUGCCCCUAUCACCAGGGUCCCGUCAAGCACACCCUUGAGGAAUGCGUCAUGCUUCGGUGCUACUUCCAUAAGGCCGGGCCCCCGGCGGGAGAUGGCAAAGGCCAAGACAACAACAAGAAAGAGGGCGACAAGGAAGAGGAGUUCCCCGAGGUCCACGGCUGCUUCAUGAUCUACGGUGGGCAAGUGGCGAAUGCCUCGGCUCGGCACCGCAAGCAGGAGCGCCGGGAGGUCUGCUCGGUGAAGGUGGCGGCGCCAGUCUACCUAGACUGGUCCGACAAGCCCAUCACGUUCGACCAAGGCGACCACCCUGACUGCGUGCCGAGCCCAGGAAGGUACCCGCUCGUUGUCGAUCCUGUCAUCGGCAACGCCAGGCUCACCAAGGUCCUCAUGGACGAAGGCAGCAGCCUCAACAUCAUCUACGCCGAGACCCUCGGGCUCUUGGGGAUCGAUCUGUCCACAAUCCGGGCCAGUGCGGUGCCCUUUCACGGGAUCGUCCUCGGAAAGCACGUCCUCCCCCUUGGACAACUCGAUUUGCCCGUCUGCUUUGGAACUCCCUCCAACUUCCGCAGGGAAACCCUCACGUUCGAGGUGGUCGGGUUCCGAGGGACCUACCACGCGGUGUUGGGGAGACUGUGCUACGCCAAGUUCAUGGCCGUCCCCAACUACACAUACCUCAAGCUCAAGAUGCCAGGCCCCAACGGGGUCAUCACCAUCGGAUCCACGUACCGACACGCGUACAAAUGCGGCAUGGAGUGCGUGGAGUACGCUGAGGCCCUCGCCGAGUCCGAGGCCCUCAUCGCCGACCUGGAGUGCCUCUCCAAGGAGGUGCCUGAUGCGAAGCGCCACGCCGGCAACUUCGAACCGGCUGAGACGGUUAAGUCCGUCGCCCUCGACCCCAGCAACGAUGCCUGCAAGCAAGUCCAGAUCGGCUCCGAGCUCGACCCCAAAUAGGAAGCAGUGCUCGUCGACUUUCUCCGCGCAAACACCAAAGUUUUUGCGUGGAGUCCCUCGGACAUGUCCAUCAUACCGAGGGAUGUUGCCGAGCACUCACUAGACAUCUGAACCGGUGCCCGACCCGUGAAGCAGCCUCUGCGCCAUUUCGACGAAAAAAAGCGCAGAGCCAUAGGCGAGGAGAUCCACAAGCUGAUGGCUGCAGGGUUCAUCAAAGAGGUUCUCUACCCUCUGCCUCGCAUCGAUCAAAUUGUGGACUCCACUGCUGGGUGCGAAACCCUGUCAUUCCUCGACGCCUAUUCAGGUUAUCACCAAAUCAAGAUGAAAGAGUCCGACCAGCUCGCGACUUCUUUCAUCACACCUUUUGGCAUGUACUGUUAUACUACCAUGCCAUUUGGCUUGAGGAAUGCAGGUGCAACAUACCAAAGGUGCAUGAACCACAUGUUCGGAGAGCACAUCGGCCGAACGGUCGAGUCUUGCGUCGAUGACAUCGUUGUCAAGAUGAGGAAAGCCUCCGACCUCCUCUCCAACCUUGAAACGACAUUCAAGUGUCUGAGAGUGAAAGGCGUGAAACUCAAUCCCGAGAAGUGUGUCUUCGGAGUACCCCGAGGCAUGCUCCUGGGGUUCAUCGUCUCCGAGCGGGGCAUCGAGGCCAACCCAGAGAAAAUCGCAGCCAUCACCAACAUGGGGCCUAUCAAAGAUUUGAAAGGAGUACAAAGGGUCAUGGGAUGCCUUGCGGCUCUGAGCCGCAUCAUCUCGUGCCUCGGCAAAAAAGGCCUACCCUUGUACCACCUCUUAAGGAAGGCCGAGUGCUUCACUUGGACCCCCGAGGCUGAGGAAGCCCUCGGAAACUUAAAGGCGCUCCUUACAAACGCGCCCAUCUUGGUGCCCCCCGCUGCGGGAGAAGCCCUCUUGAUCUACGUAGCCGCAACCACUCAGGUGGUCAGCGCCGCGAUCAUAGUCGAGAGAUGAGAAGAAGGGCAUGCACUGCUCGUCUAGAGGCCGGUCUACUUCAUAAGUGAGGUGCUAUCCGAGACCAAGAUCCGCUACCCACAAAUCCAGAAGCUACUAUACGCAGUAAUUCUGACGCGGCGAAAAUUGCGACACUACUUCGAGUCUCAUCCGGUGACUGUGGUGUCAUCCUUUCCCCUGGGGGAGAUCAUCCAGUGCCGAGAGGCCUCGGGUAGGAUAGCAAAGUGGGCGGUGGAACUCAUGGGUGAGACAAUCUCGUUCGCUUCUCGGAAGGCCAUAAAAUCCCAAGUCUUGGCGGACUUCGUGGCUGAAUGGGUCGACACCCAAUUGCCAACAGCUCCGAUCCAACCCGAGCUUUGGACCAUGUACUUCGAUGGGUCGCUGAUGAAAACAGGAGCAGGUGCGGGCCUGCUCUUUAUCUCACCCCUCGUGAAACAUGUGCGCUACGUGCUGCGCCUCCAUUUUCCGGCAUCAAACAACGUUGCCGAGUACGAGGCUUUGGUUAACGGGCUGCGCAUCGCCGUCGAGCUAGGGGUUCGGCGCCUCGACACUCGUGGCGACUCGCAGCUUCUCAUCGACCAAGUCAUGAAGAACUCCCACUGCCGCGACCCGAAGAUGGAGGCCUACUGCGAUAAAGUUCGGCGCCUGGAAGACAAGUUCUACGGGCUGGAGCUCAACCACAUCACUUGAUGGUACAACGAGACUGCGGACAAGCUGGCAAAAAUAGCCUCGGGGCGGACAACGGUUUCCCCGGACGUCUUCUCCAGAGACAUACAUCAACCCUCCGUCAAGAUCGACGACAUGCCCGAGCCCGAUGAGACCUCGGCUCAGCCCGAGGUACCCUCGGCCACCGAGGGUGAGGCCUUGCGCAUCGAGGGAGAGCGGAAUGGGGUUGCGCCAAACCGAAACUGGCAAACCCCGUACCUGCAAUAUCUCCACCGAGGAGAGCUACCCCUCGACAAGGCCGAAGCUCGGCGCGCCAAGUCGUUCGUCUUACUGGGUGAUGAAAAGGAGCUCUACCACCACAGCCCCUCGGGCAUUCUCCAACGAUGCAUAUCCAUCGUCGAAGGAUAAGAGCUGUUGCAAGAGAUACACUCGGGGGCUUGCGGUCACCAUGCAGCACCUCGAGCCCUCGUAGGAAACGCUUUCCGACAAGGUUUCUACUGGCCGAUCGUGGUGGCCGACGCCACUAGGAUUGUACGCUCCUGCCAAGGGUGUCAAUUCUACGCAAGACAGACGCACCUGCCCGCUCAGGCCCUACAGACAAUACCCAUCACCUGGUCGUUUGCCGUGUGGGGUCUGGACCUCGUUGGUCCCUUGCAGAAGGCAACCAGGGGCUUCUUGCACCUGCUGGUCACCAUCGACAAAUUCUCCAAGUGGAUCGAGGUCCGACCCCUAACCAGCAUCAGGUCCGAGCAGGCGGUGGCGUUCUUCACAAACAUCAUCCAUCGUUUUGGGGUCCCGAACUCCAUCAUCACCGACAACGGCACGCAGUUCACUGGGAAGAAGUUCCUGGACUUCUGCGAGGACCAUCACAUCCGUGUGGACUAGGCCAUCGUAGCUCACCCCAUGACGAAUGGGCAGGUCGAGCGUGCCAACGAUAUGAUUCUGCAUGGACUUAAACCGAGGAUCUACAACGACCUCAGCAAGUUCGGCAAGCGGUGGAUGAAAGAGCUACCCUCGGUGGUCUGGAGUCUGAGGACGACGCCGAGCCGAGCCACGGGUUUCUCGCCGUUCUUUCUAGUCUAUGGGGCCGAGGCUAUCUUACCCACAAAAUUAGAAUAUGGUUCCCCGAGGACAAAGGUGUACGACGACCGAAGCAACCAGACCAGCCGGGAAGAAUAACUGGACUAGCUCGAAGAAGCUCGGGACGUGGCCUUACUACACUCGGCACGGUAUCAGUAGUCUCUGCGACGCUACCACGCCCAAAGGGUCCGGUCCCAAGACUUCCAGGUGGGAGACCUGGUACUUCGGCUGCGACAAGACGCCCGAGGGCGCCACAAGCUUACUCCUCCCUGGGAAGGGCCGUUCAUCAUCACCAAGAUUUUGAAGCCUGGAACAUACAAGCUGGCCAACGAUCAAGGCAAGGUCUACAACAACGCUUGGAACAUCCAACAGCUACGUCGCUUCUACCCUUAAGAUGUUUCAAGUCAUUCAUAUACCUCGUUUUCUUUACAUGCAUACAUAAAGUCUAACCGUCAAGGAAGGAUCGGCCUUGCCUCGGCAAAGCCCGACCCUCCCUCGGGGGCUAGAAGGGGGGAACCCCCUCUGCGUCAAAAUGUUCCUCGGAAAAGUCUUUUGCCAGAACGUCUUUCGUGUCGUUUCGACUGCUUCGAUAGCGGGGUCCUGAAAACGACGAGAGUACACGUAAGCGGCAAGGCCGACCAAACCGAGGGACUCCUACCCCUCUAGGAUACGGAUACCUCACUCAUCACCUUCCAUGAUAAGUAACUCACGCUCGGAUAAGCGAUUCUGCUACCGAACAAGUCCUAACGCUUGAAAACUUUUCUGCCAGAACGACUUUCGUGCCGUUUCGACUGCUUCGAUAGCAGAACCCUAAAAACGACGAGAGUACACGUAAGUGGCAAGGCCGACCAAGCCGAGGGACUCCUACGCCUCUGGGAUACGGAUACCUCACUCAUCACCUUCUGCGAAAAGUAACGCUCGGACGAGGGAUUCUGCUACCAAACAAGUCCUAACACACGAAACGAGAGGAAAGAAAACACAGCUUUAUAAUCCGACGCUAAAAUUUUUAGGCCCCAGUGGCCGCAAAAAACAUACGCAUGCUUCAGACAAACUGUCCCUGCAGGUUCGGACAUCGGCAGGGGGAGCAGCAGCACCCUCAGCGAUGUUUCCACCCUCGGCGGAAUCUGGCCCGGCCUCAGACGACGACACGGGCGGAAGGAUCUCCACCUCGAAGGAGGACGCCGGCACCGCGCUUGGGCCCUCACGGCUAGGGUCUUCGGCAGGGUUCCAGCCCGAGCGGACGCCUCGACUGGCCGCUCGUAGCCUCAGCCAACUGUCCCCCGAGGACCUCAGCCCGGCUCACGGCCUCGGUAGUGUGACUCCGGGGUUGGUCCCGCUCGCGGAUGACCUGGCCAAGCUCCAGCCGCCACCGCUGCACUUCCUCGACCUGGGAAGCCACAUGCUCCUGGGCCGACAAAGCCUCUUUUCGAGCCGACUCCGCCUCUGUCCAUGCCGACACCGCUGCCUCUGGCUCCAGCUCAUCGCAGAGCGGCCGAGGGUUCUAAAACUGAGCAAGAGAAGCCUUGAGUGGCAAGGCCGACCGAGCCGAGGGACUCCUACGCCUCUGGGAUAUGGAUACCUCACUCGUCACCUUCCGCACAAGGCAACUCACGCUCGGUUAAGUGGUUCCGCUAGCCGACAGGCAAGUCCUAGUGCUCGAAAUGAGGAAGAAUCACGACAUUAUGCUAAAAUGCCCAAAUGUUCAGGCCUCAGCGGCCACAAUGAACAAACACCCAUACCCAGGGUACCAUUACAAACGGGACUCCGGUUCCACUCCUGCGGGUGUGAACAACCUCUACACCAGAGGGCCUGCGGGAUAACAAACUCCAGGUGGCUCGCCGGCAACCGCUGCACCAACAGCGUGGCAACGACCUCCGUCUCGGGCGGCAAGACAGCUGCAGCGAUGGACUCAGGGCAAACGCUGCCGCUGAAAGGCCCUCGUUCAUGUCCCCUCACGGGGGACGAGAACCAGCCAUUAAAGCCAAAGAGCCGGAGGUCCAGAGCGCAGGUGGCACGAAUGGUCUCGUCGGCAGAAGAAACCGCUUCGGCAGAGGCAACCUCACCUAUGGCGACCACCACCUCAGCACCGACGACGGCGGCCACCUGCCCAACAACACCGCACCAGCGAGUCCGGCAGCCACGGUCGAUAUGGCCAAAAGCGGACCGGCAGUAAUAGCAGCAGCAGACGGGCAGAGGUAGCGGUCAAAUCGCCUGCAGGCUCACGUCCCCUCCUGAAGCGGCAGGAGAGCCCUCUCCCACGGCAUGAAGACGACACACCCGUGUUCCGUUCCUCGAACGGCUCGUGCGCGCGCAACGGCCGCCCCGUGAAUCGCCCGUCCCGUCGCAUUAACUCCUCGGCAGGGCAAGCGACACCUUUCGCAGGCGAAGCGGGCGUCGUUUCACCUCUGCCAUGAUGACCACGUCAAAAAAGGUGCGCCACGCCAUUUAAAUUCAUAUCCUUUUCCUCUUCCUCUUUCUCUCUCUUACUACAGGGACCGGGAAUGGGGAUAUUUCGGAAAGGAUCCUUCUUAGCGAAGGAAACGGGCCCCCGAGCCCUCCUACUGAUCAGGGGUUCGAAGGCUGGCCCCUCGGAAGGGUUCGACAGCUGCCCCAGAGCACUCGGGCUCCACGCCCAUUACUAAUCAGGGGUUCGAAGGCUAGCCCCUCGGAACUGUUCGACAGCCGCCCCAGAGCACUCGGGCUCCGCGCCCUUUACUGAUCAGGGGUUCGAAGGCUGGCCCCUCGGAAGGGUUCGACAGCCGCCCCAGAGCACGCAGAGUGAGGGAUGACUCUGGGUACGUCUGUUACAUGGCCGAGGCUCGGGCUACGCUCCCGAGGUACCCUAGGACAUUUCCGAGACCAGCAGGAGCGAUUUUGUAAUGGAAUCCCACCAGAGGGAGGCAUCGAGCCCUCGGACCCUAUCGAAUGGGUCCGGGUCCGGCAAAUCACCUGUAGGUACUUUUGGAGCACGACUCUAGGCCACUAGCCGACCCUUAUCAAACGGGGCACGUGCGUCCACUCGGAUCACCCGUUAGCAACUCACUGGAGACACCAUGUUCGGCGCCCUCCGAGGGCAACAUGGCGCUUUCCCCCCCCCCCUUCCUCCUUGCUGAAAGGCGACGAAGGGGCGUAUAAUAAAAGUCGAGACAGUCCUUGAUCGUCCUCUCGCUCCAUGCAGAGGCUCGGGGGCUGCUCUCGCAACCCGACUACGGCCAAACCGUUGACAGCGUCAACAAACCAGCCUAAAAACUCGGAACCUGACCAUGCACCCAAGCUACGACCAGGCCGCAUGAGGGAACAACAAGGCCGGCCGAAGAAUCAUGAAAAGCAUUAAGACCUCAGAGGAGUCAAACCACUCCUCCGAGGCCUCGGGGGCUACACCCGGCGGGUGCGUUCGCGCGCACCCAUCGGAACAAAGUAUAACCGAGGAAGGCCGUUCCCCUCGCAAAAAAGUGCGGCAAAGCCUCCAAGCGAGUACCAACACUCCCUUUGAGGCUCGGGGGCUACUGUCGGGUACCGUAAUUAGGGGUACCCCCAACACUCCUAAACACGGCUGGUAAGCACCAUCAGCACAAACUACAGAGACUGAUGGGCACGGUUCAGGUCAAGACCUCGCCUACCAAGGGACGCAAUCUCGCCUCGCCCGAACCCGGCCCCAGGCGGGAACAGUAGUCCCGGACGAAUUCGCGCCUCGCCCGAGGGUCUCCUCAGGCAGUGGGCGCACCCUCGGCUCGCCCGAGGACCAGCUCGGGCAGGCUUCGUCGAGAAGCAACCUUGGCCAAAUCGCCUCACCAACCGACCGUAUCGCAGGCACAUUCAACGCGAGGAUCGCCUGACACCUUAUCCUGACACGCGCGCCUCAGUCGGCCAGGUCGAAGUGACCGCAGUCACUUCACCCUUUCACUGACCGAUCUGACAGGAAAACAGCGUCGCUCAACCCGCUCCGACUGCUGUGCCAGCCACCCGGGCAAGGCUGACAAUAGCAAGUUCAGCCUCGGGCGCAACAGGAAGCUCCGCCUCGCUCGACCUUAGGUCUCGGCCUCGGGAGGAGGUAACCGCCUCGCCCGACCCCAAGACUCAGCCUUAGCCUCGGCCUCGGGAGGAAUCGCGUCCUCGCCCGACCCCGGCCUCGGCCUCAGGAGAAGUCUCCGCCUCGCCCGACCUUGGGCUCGGACCGACCGCGCCACAGGGGAUACAUCAUUACCCUACCCCUAGCUAGCUCAGGCUACGAGGGAACAAGACCGGCGUCACAUCUAGCUCGUCCUGGUAACAGGUAAUGAUGGCUCCCCGCGUGCGUCCAUGACGACGGUAGUUCUAAGCCCCCUACGGAAGCAAGGAGACGUCAGCAGGAUCUCAGCAGCACCAUCAGCUGUGCUUCUACAGGGCUCAGGCACUUCUCCGACGGCCACGUUAUCGCGUACACAGGGCUCUAGCACUUCUCCGACAGCCACGUUGGCAUGUGCACAGGGCUCAGGCACCUCUCUGCCAGACACGUUAGCGCAUAGCUACAACCCCCAUUGUACACCUGGACCCUCUCCUUACAUCUAUAAAAGGGAGGUCCAGGGCCUUCAUGCGGGAGGGUGACGCGGAGGGACGAGCAAACGAACAUGCUCACUCUCUCUCUCUCUCUCUCUCGCGAACGCUUGUAACCCCUACUACGAGCACACCCCCCUGGUGCGAGAUAAUACGAGCAACGUUUUCCCCUUGUUUUCCAUCUCGCGCCAACCCAUCUGGGCAGGGACACGCAGCGACAAAUUUACUGGUUGGCUUACGGACCCCCCGGGUCCGAAACGGCGACAAUCUCAAUGCCCAAAUCCACAUAAAGUACUAGCAAGUACUACCCCGAAGUCCAGUGGUAAACAAGGCAUAAAGAUAGACAAACUAGGGUAACCUAUUGGGUCCCAUCAAAAUUAACCUAUGUAGAUCAUUAUGAUAAUAAGAACAUGAGUGGGAAAAAAGAAGUGAUCAAGGGCACAACUUACUGGGACUUGAGAUUCCAGGUACCAGGAUGAUCUUCAGGUGACUCGUAACCUCGCUAGUCGUAGCAAUACAAACAAACAUGGUAUAGGAAAAAUUAACAUUACACCAAACAUAAGUACAAACUGCAUAAUAAUAAUCUACGCGUUGCUACGAGAUCAUGGGAACAAAACCACUGAAAUUGGAGUUACGAUUAAGGAGUUAUGAUUUAUGGAAGAUCUAUGUGAUUUAACUAUUAAACUAUAUUAUAAAUUGAUUAGUAUACAUCAUAUGAGAGAAUCUCUUAUAUAUAAUUAACUCAACCCAUAAUCUAAGUCAUUAUUUCAAUAAAGGUCAUCUAGUCAAAUUAUAACCAUAAGAUCAUAAUACUAUAUUAAUAUUAAAGAAGUUAAUCCAAUAUACAUAGAUUAUUCCAAUUAGUUACCUAAUUAUAAAAGUAGGGGAUAUCAUAUAAAAAAUGUUGCUACUGCAUAGUAAAUAUUUAUAUGAAGCUAACGCAACUGUGACGAGUCAAUUCGAAAUUAAAACGGAGAAGUUAUGAAUUUUCGAAGUUAUUAAGUGCUUAGUAUAGAAUGAAUCAAGUGAACAAUUUUAAUUCAAUUUUCAUGGCUAAACAAAGAUACUAGAUGAUAAACAAUAUUAAAACAAAAUAAUGCCACAUGAAUGAAUUAAUUUGGAGUUAAAAUGGAUUUAAUUCGAAUUAAACCUGUUUCUAAAAUUGUUUUCAUACUAAAACCCAUUUUCUACAUUAAUAUACUCAUUUUAUUCACAAUCCGGACUGCGGACAUUAAUACCCUAAAGAUUAGGGGCUAAACCAAAAAUUACAGGGCAUAGAUUAAAUUUUCUACAACUGCAUCAGGAUGGCGGGUUAGUUCCAAAAUUUCAUAGGGUCUCUUAUGCAAAUGAGGCUGGCCGAAGGGUAUGGACUAUUCCCCAGCCGUCCUAUCAGAUCCAGACGUCCUAGAUUAAAUCGUGUUUUCAAACGAACCGGUAUGCUUUGUGGUUCAUCCUAUCCGAUCUCAACGGCCCAGAACAAUCCGAGCCCUAGCUACCCUGUUUUUAAUCUCACCCGUGGAUCCAUCAAUCAACGACCCAAGGGAUGCCUCAUGCAAUGAUUUAAUCUCCCCCGCCCACAUCAGAUCGGACGACUAGAGUGCUCCUUCAACCUCCCAUGAAGGCUGGCCCGCGGCGGCGAGCGUCUGCACGGCAGUUCCCCACCAGAGUUCACGCAAGACGCGCACCCGAGCCCUAUUUACCCAUCCAAAAGGUUCAACACGCAGGGGAGAUCAUCACGAGCUAGCUGGUAGGUAUUUACUUGGUGUCGAAGCGCGGGCGCUAUCGCCCACGGAAGCAGCGGCAUGGCGGUGGCCAUACAUUCCGUCGAGCAAUUACUCCAGCUCUGGCAACCCAUCCCGCCAUGGGUACUUGUUGGUGUGGUGGCAGCCGGGCACGACGAGCACCGUGCGACAGACGAAGUUCUCCGAUGCCAUGAGCACGAUGCCCGCGCCUGGCGACCAGCUCCUGCUCCAUCAGCGCGCACAAUCGGGUCGGCUACUGCCAGCGAUUGGUUGCCCAGGAGCAGAUCGACGAUGGAGACACCAGCGGGUCACACCGAGCACCAUCACUACCCCUUCCCCUCGGUCUUCUCUCUCUCAAAUAUCUCCCAUGCGAUGGCGCUGGCAUGAGGAUGCAGAAAACAACGUUUUUUUUGGAAGAACUGGG
rnacentral:lncRNA from 1 species